AACGAACGCUGGCGGCAUGCCUAACACAUGCAAGUCGAACGAGACCUUCGGGUCUAGUGGCGCACGGGUGCGUAACGCGUGGGAACCUGCCCUUAGGUUCGGAAUAACUCCCCGAAAGGGGUGCUAAUACCGGAUAAUGUCUUCGGACCAAAGAUUUAUCGCCUUUGGAUGGGCCCGCGUUGGAUUAGCUAGUUGGUAGGGUAAAAGCCUACCAAGGCGACGAUCCAUAGCUGGUCUGAGAGGAUGAUCAGCCACACUGGGACUGGGACACGGCCCAGACUACUACGGGAGGCAGCAGUGGGGAAUAUUGGAAAAUGGGCGAAAGCAUGAUCCAGCAAUGCCGCGUGAGUGAUGAAGGCCUUAGGGUUGUAAAGCUCUUUUACCCGGGAUGAUAAUGACAGUACCGGGAGAAUAAGCUCCGGCUAACUCCGUG
rnacentral:rRNA from 1 species